AACGCGAAGAACCUUACCAAGGUCUUGACAUACCCGAUGCUAUUUCUAGAGAUAGAAAGUUACUUCGGUACAUCGGUGACAGGUGGUGCAGUGGUUGUCGUCAGCUCGUGUCGUGAGAUGUGGUUAAGUCCGCAACGAGCGCAACCCUAUUGUUAGUUGCCAUCAUUCAGUUGGGCACUCUAGCGAGACUGCCGGUAAUAAACCGGAGGAAGGUGGGGAUGACGUACAAAUCAUCAUGCCCCUUAUGACCUGGGCUACACACGUGCUACAAUGGUUGGUACAACGAGUUGCGAGUCGGUGACGGCGAGCUAAUCUCUUAAAGCCAAUCUCAGUUCGGAUUGUAGGCUGCAACUCGCCUACAUGAAGUCGGAAUCGCUAGUAAUCGCGGAUCAGCACGCCGCGGUGAAUACGUUCCCGGGCCUU
rnacentral:rRNA from 1 species